rnacentral:lncRNA from 1 species
AGGCAAACGAUCUAAGCGGUCAAGAUCCGAGUUCGACCGCAGUCUCACUGAGGAUGAGUAUAUCGCUUUGUGUCUCAUGCUUCUUGCUCGCGACGGGAAUCGAACCCGCCACCUGCCUUCUUCUUCUUCCUCGCCGCCUCUGCUUCCUACUCUUACUUCUACUCAUCUCCACAAGUGCAGCGUCUGCGACAAGGCGUUUUCUUCUUACCAGGCUCUCGGUGGGCACAAGGCGAGUCACCGGAAAAACUCAUCGCAGACUCAGUCUAGCGGAGGAGAUGAGAAAUCCACGUCGUCGGCGAUAACCAUCGCGAGCCACGGCGGCGGCGGAGGAGGAAGUGUGAAAUCUCACGUUUGCUCGAUCUGCAACAAGUCUUUCGCGACAGGUCAAGCGCUCGGGGGCCACAAACGGUGCCACUACGAAGGCAAGAACGGGAGCAGCAGCGAAGGUGUGGGGUCCACAAGCCACGUCAGCAGCGGCAGCCAUCACCACCACCGUGGGUUUGACCUCAACAUCCCGCCGAUACCGGAAUUCUCGACGGUCAACGGAGAAGAAGAGGUGAUGAGCCCCAUGCCGACCAAGAAACUGAGGCUCGAGUAGAACUUAUAAAGGAGUUACAGAUUCAGCUAGCAGUUACAUGAAUUUGUUAUACUGUACAUAAUACCAAUUUUUAGAUUCCACUUCUUGUUAUUCUUCAUUGAAUCAGUAGUAUUCCUUCUUGUAAUAUUUUUGUGUAGUUUUCUUGUCUUCUUUACCUAAAGUUAUCGUUUAAAGAAAAACGACCUUGUUAAAACUAUUCAAGUACGUUUCAGUUUCUAAAGAACAUAGAUUACAACCUUAUUGGUUCGUUGGACUAGUGUCGUGGGGUGGUAAGACCUAACGUACAAAGUCUCAGCCCAUUUAACUGAUAACAUGUUAAGAGAUUCGUUUGAAGUAGAUAAUGGGUACUAAUUACGUACUGUCUGAUGUUUCUAUGCAGAACAUGACUUCAAUUUUAUUUUAUACAAUACAAAAACGAAAGAUUACCUGCAGCAUUCAAUGGUCUUAUAACAACAUCCACAUUAUUCUUUUUAGACUUUCCAUAGCUAUAUGACUAUAUCUGACACAGAGAGCAUACCUUUUUAAGGUAACAAGUGAGUUCGCAAACUGUUGUCUUUCCAACUCCCUGGAGCCCAGCCACGUGACUUAGAAAACUGUAGCUGAGAUGUUUCUCCACCCAUCAAAUUCACAAGCUUAUCAUCAUGCACAACAUGCAAUAAAAAACCAUAAUACUCCCAACACUUUCGAGACUAAAAUGAUCAUCCCAGAAUGAAGUCAACCAAUAAAUAGUAUAUUAUUUAUUCAUCGGCAGUUUUACAAAUCACUUCUUUUAUAUUAUUUAUUUGUUUGCUUCUUUAUGAAACUUUCAAUGGAUAAGGAUUCUAGAAACAUCCCUAUCAUGGUCCUGGGGUUGAUCAUUCUCCUGAACCACAGCUUCCUUGGGGAUCACAUGUGCUCCCCAUAAGAGUUUAACAUUUUGGCCAUUGAUAACAACCCAUGAAGAGUGCUCUAACAUGGCCUUCUCCGCCCCUUCUCGGGUCGUGUAUGUGAGAAACGCACCGUCAACACCUCUCAUUGCAAAAUAGACGAUAGAUUUGAUUUCUCCAUAAGGGUUGAAACGGUCACGUAUGUGCUGCUCGUGGACACUAGAGUUGAGGCGACGGAGGUAGAGCGUUUUAAGUGUUUGAUCCAAGGGUGGAUCAACAGGGCCCAUGUAAACAUUUCUAGCCAGUAACUCGACGGUUUUUGGAUUGUCUAAACUGCCAACAACCAGAAAUUCACAUAAUAAAAGUGUUUGAGAAAGGCAACAAAGAGAGUGAGAGAUAGAGGUUACCCAGUUCUACUAUCAAAAACUCUGGGAACUUUAUGUGCGAAUGGACAUGUGGCACCAGCCAUACACGUACGACCCGAUUUAAAGAAACCGCAAACUAAUGGAUGGCCAUCAAAACGUCCAAGUUGGCUCUACAUAGAUCAGAUACAAAAAAAAAACAUGAAAAUCAUACAGACUAUUCGAAGCAGCCAUUAUAUGUUAGAAAAAUUCGUAUCCAAACACAAAAGUUCCUCACAAAUUUCCAAACCCUAAACAUAGACUAUUAACACAGAAAACAUCAACAACGAGAAGAGGUGAUAUCCACGAAAAUUCAUUGCCUUUGGACGACGAUCUAUAGGGUUUCUCUGAUCCAUUCUCUUCUACUCCAAUGGCGAUAAACGCGGCUACUUCUCUUUGGAUGAACAGAGGCAAGGGCUAUAUUUAUGCCGGACGUUUCGUUUUAUAAAGAGAAAAAGAUGAAUAUGGUAGGAAAAAAUGAGUUAAAACAAACUUACGGGCCUGUUUGGUGGGCUAGUAUGAUCUAACCUACACGUUUCCCCCAUUUAGUUGAUCAUUAUAAUUGUAUACAUUAUUAUUAUCAAACAAAAGCACCCUUGUUUUUUUUGAACAAAACACCAUCGUUUUUCACGAGCCAUUCAUUCGACAACAUGACAAAUAUAUUGACCUACCUUAUAAUUUGAGAUCUGUCCAAGUGCAUACAUUAUUAUGUAUAUACGUCCAUAUGGUAAAAUUGGGCUCAAUUCCUUGGCAAAAAAAAAAUGGGCUCAAUUAAGAUUAUUGGUUGGUUUGGUUUAUCCUUUUUUGUUGACCAUCAUGUUGUCCCAAAUCAGCUCUUGAUGUGCUCUUCAUUGAUCAGUAUUCUUUCUUGUAUAGGGUAUUUUUCUUGUUUUCUUUAAUUUGUAUUUAACCUAAAGUUGUGCUUCAAGAAAAAAUCCUUCCAAUGUUUCAACACCAAGAUACAUAGAAAAAGAAGAUCUCAACACAAUGGUUAGACAGUGUAAUUAUUAUUGGAAAGCUAUACUUUUAUGUCAUUUUUUUGUCAAUUUCUAUAUGUUUACGUGUUUAGCUUUUGUAAGAAUGUGUUUUUUUUGCAUCAAGGCAGAAACCUUGUCAUAAUAUCUUACUACUUGAUAAGUUUGGUGUUUUUUUGUUUUUUCUUUUGAACUUUAAUCUGUUUUGUUUGAUGUUUGGACGUCGAUGCCAACUAUCUAAAUUUUCUCUUCACUAUUUUUCUUACAUCAAAUUUUCUUUUUACUUGAAUAAAUAUUUCUAAUCGUACUAAUAUUUCUACAAAAGCACACGAUGUUAAAAGAUGGUCUCUUAAAAACAAUCCAAAUUAUAAGAUGUAUUUAAACUCCUUUUACAAAAAAAAAAAUGUAUUUAAACUCCAACAUUUAAAAUGUCACAUUACCAAACAAAAGCACCAUCGGUUUUCACGAGCCUCCCACGAUGUGAUAAAUAUGACCCACCAUCAUCCAAUUAUAUGCGUCCAAAGUGCAUACGUUAGUAUGUAUAUUGAUAUACUAAUGGAUCUCUUAAUUAUUUUUGCAUAAGAGCAUCAUUAUCCUAGAGACCCAUAAUGGAUCUCUUAAUUAUUUUUUUAUAGUAUUUAAGGAAUAAAUUUGGUCAAGAGACUUUGUUAAGAAUUUUCAAUUUUUAUGUCCUCCAUUGCAAGUCUUGUAUUUUAGGAUUCUUAAAAAAAAAUUUGGUUAAAAGAGCUUUCAUCACACUUUCAUUACAUUCGUCUUGUGAAAACCAUCUUUUCCUAAAACUGAGUUCAAAAGAACAUUUCAAAUCUUGAUGCAAGUUUCUAAAGAUGGACACAAAACCAAAUCAAAAGAAGCUCUUAAACCAAUCCAAAACUGGAGCAAACCAAACAAAAAAAACGGACUGUAAAAGUCUAGCGGAGGAGAUGAGAAAUCCACGUCGUCCGCGAUAACCAUCGCUAGCCGCGGCGGCGGCGGAGGAGGAAGUGUGAAACCGCACGUUUGCUCGAUCUGCAACAAGUCUUUCGCGACAGGUCAAGCGCUCGGGGGCCACAAACGGUGCCACUACGAAGGCAAGAACGGGAGCAGCAGCGAAGUUGUGGGGUCCGCAAGCCACGUCAGCAGCGGCAGCCAUCACCACCACCGUGGGUUUGACCUCAACAUCCCGCCGAUACCGGAAUUCUCGACGGUCAACGGAGAAGAAGAGGUGAUGAGCCCCAUGCCGACCAAGAAACUGAGGCUCGAGUAGAACUUAUAAAGGAGUUACAGAUUCAGCUAGCAGUUACAUGAAUUUGUUAUACUGUACAUAAUACCAAUUUUUAGAUUUCAUUUCUUGUUAUUCUUCAUUGAAUCAGUAUUCCUUCUUGUAAUAUUUGUGUAGUUUUCUUAUCUUCUUUACCUAAAGUUGUCGUUUAAAGAAAAAGACCCUGCUAAAAC